UGGGGGAUAUUGCACAAUGGGCGAAAGCCUGAUGCAGCAACGCCGCGUGAGGGAAGACGGUCUUCGGAUUGUAAACCUUUAGCUUUGGGGAAGAAACAAAUGACGGUACCCAAAGGGGCAGCCACGGCUAACUACGUGCCAGCAGCCGCGGUAAUACGUAGGUGGCAAGCGUUGUCCGGAAUUACUGGGUGUAAAGGGAGCGCAGGCGGGGAGACAAGUCAGCUGUGAAAUACAUGGGCUUAACCCAUGAAUUGCAGUUGAAACUGUUUUUCUUGAGUGGAGUAGAGGUAGGCGGAAUUCCGAGUGUAGCGGUGAAAUGCGUAGAUAUUCGGAGGAACACCAGUGGCGAAGGCGGCCUACUGGGCUCUAACUGACGCUGAGGCUCGAAAGUGUGGGGAGCAAACAG
rnacentral:rRNA from 1 species